AUGAGGGCUUCAUAAGUUGAGAUAAGGACCAGGAAAAAAACACUCCAAAGGCAAAACAGGCUCAACUUAGAGGUACAAAUUGAAUUUAUUACUAACAAAAUUAAAUUAGGAUAAUGAGAAGUAAAAUAAGCCUUUAAAACACCCCUUUCCCCCAGUCUCUCCCUCCUUCCCAUCAGUAAUGCAGGGAGACAGGGGCUGGGGGGUCUGGUCAGUUUGUCUCCUGAGGUUUUCUUCCACUGCUCUGGAGAGGAGUCCAUCCUCUGUGAGACUGUGGGGUCCUUCCCACAGGAGACAGUUCUGCAUGAAGUUCUCCAGCGUGGUUCCAAUCUCACAAGCAGCAGCUCCCUGGGACCUGCUGCAACACAAGCCCCUCCCACGGGCAAACAGUCCUCCCAAAACUGCUGCAGCGUGGGUCACUCUUCCACUUGGAGGGGCACUUGGAGGUGCAGUCCUCCAAGGACAGGCUGCUCCAGCCUGGAAGCAGGGCCCCCACUCUCCACUGGGUCUCCCAGGGGUCACAGCCUCCUCUAGGCACCCACCCACUCUGGCGUGGGCACCUCCUCCACGGGCUGUGGGUGGAUCUCUGCAUCCCCCGUGGAUCCUCAUGGGCUGAGGGUGGAUCUCUGCAUACCAUGUGGAUUCUCACGGACUGCAGGGGGACAACCUGCUUCACCAUGGUCAUCACCACAGCCUGCAGAGGAAUCUCGGCUCUGGCACCUGGAGCAUCUGCUUCCCCUCCUUCUCCACUGACCUUUGUGUUCCCAUGUUGUUUCCCUCACAUGUUCUCACCUCCUCCUCUUUUCUGGCUAGAAAAAAACGGUGCCUCACUUUGUUUUGAUUUUCUUUGUAAAUAUGUUAUCACAGAGGCAUUACCAUCAUCUCUCAUUGGCCAGCAGCAUGUCCAUCUUCAGAGCCAUCAAGGAUUGGCUCUGCCCAACGUGGUAGAAGCUUUCAGCAGCUUCUCACAGAAGCCACCUCUGCAGCCCCCCACCCACUACAAAAAAACCAUGCCAUGCAAAACCAACACAGGUACUGAAAAGCAACAUCUCCUCAACAACAUAUGAUCAGGAAACACCUCUUGCCCUAGGAUCUUCCAGCUACUGAAAAUCCAUCUGCAUUUGAAGAUGCGUCCUGGGUCUUCACACCAGCAGACACAAGCUAAACAUCUCAAAUAAGCACAAGAGAAAUAUGAAUUUAAUCAGGUGAUGUUUUAUAUGGCCAUUUUAUUCACAACACCUCAGAUCUGCUGCAGCAGAAAUAUCUGAGGAUGCAGGGAAGCAGCUUCCUAGAAUGAAGUGUUUCACUGCAAGUCCUCAUCUCAGCUGCUCCAACUACCACUGGUACCACUGAUGUGAGACAGGGAGAGGCUAAAUUCACUAGACUAAAAAUAUGUCAAAAGUGUCAACAGUUAAAAAUUCUGUUUGCAUUGUACAAGUAACAGAAAAAUAUAGCUUCGUUUCACUGCCCUACAAAUUUACCUAGGUUACAAAAUGUGACAUAAUACUUACCUACUUACCUGUUUUUUUGAGGGGGAGGAAUUCAUGUUUGCAAUAAGAAACUGCACCAAAUUUAGCCUGGAGUUCAUUGUCUGAAUGUCAAGGAUUGACUGCAUUCAAAUUAAAAAAAAACCUAACUAAAACCAAAACCAAAACCAAAACAAAAAAACAAAAGCAAACAAAAAAACCCCAAACAAACAAAACCCCACAAACAAACAAAACCAAAAACCAACCAAAAAAACCCAAAAAAACAAAACAAAAAAACCAAACCCAACUUGCAAGCUCUAGUUACUCCUCCCUGGCUACUGAGACACACAGAGAACAGGACGGUGACUCUCCACCUACAGACACUGAACUGCCAGCAGAUGGCACAUGUGAGGCAAAUCCUCUCAGGAGACCUGGAACUAAAUGCAGACACGACAGGGAAAUGAAUCAAGAAUUUGUCAGGGGUUCAGAAAUUAGGCUUUGGCACUCUGACACCUCUGCAGAAAUCUCAGCAAUCUGCUGGGAUGUGAGUCCGAACCUUGAACAGCAGCAUUUUCCAUCAUCUGAGACUGUGACUAAUUUUUACAACACAGCGUCAUCCUCUGACCUCCGUGCGCAGCUCUGUCUUUGGGCGAGCAAACAUGUGAAUGUAUGUUGCUGAACAUCAUAUGAACAUGAUGCCUGCAGUGCCAGGGGGUAUGGAUCUUAGGACUGAGAAAAACUUUCCUUGUGCCCUACCUCCAGUGUCUCCUCGUGACCAUUGUCUCCCAGCCCCGGGUGAGUACUGAUGGUCAAUGCUGUGGGUCUCCUAUGUGCAGUGGUGUGAAGUCCUGACUGGCUUUUGUUAGUGCAGCGACAGGGAGCCGAUGGCAAGGGCAGGCGUUACAUUACCAGUUAUCCCAGCAGCAGAGAAAGCUCAAACCCCUCACAGCUUGCCCCAGCUUAUAUAUUUCCACAGUGAAUAUGCCUGUAACUCCUGUAUGCUCACUCCCAGCAUCUGGGAGGUAAGACCCUGGAGCAUGACUCCAGUAGCGACACCACAGGAAAAGGAUUGGAAACUGUUAUAAAUGCCAGGACAAUUUAUUUCCAAAUCCAAUAAUUUGGUUUAUUAAAAAUUCAAAUCACAAUAUUUGGAAUCAAAUCACAGAAUUUUAAGCAACAAAAAAACCCCUCUACAAACAGCGAUACCUACUUGACAGAGUUUCUUUCGGGAAAAAGAGCCAAGGGUGACCCUUAGACACAGUGCCUGGCAGUCUGGUCUCUAGCUGGGUUCACAAAUUUACCCGCUUAGGGGCUCAGUUUAAAUACGCUUUAUUUCCCCUUCGGCAGCACUCUUCCCAUUGUUUCUGUUAAGCACCGGCAAUUAAGAGUGUUUACAUUAAGCCCUGAAAAAGUCCCUCGGUCUAUAUUGCUAACAACCAGAGUAAAUCCUUGCUUUGAGGCAAUCUUCGCUGCACGUAGGCAGGGUGUAGGUUGGUCAAUGUUCAUUGUCUUCUUUUGACAGCAUUAGUGCCUUGUAUUUUCACCUUCUGUUUCUGGACCGGGAAGAUCAGGAAAGGUGCUCCACGGAAAUCUGUGAGGCACGCGGGUGGAGCACGUACACAUACUUUUAUACAAUAUAUUACAGUUUCCAGUUUAUAAUUAUCUAUAGGACAUGAAUUAAAUAACUCUAUUUUUCACAGAAACUCCACUGCCAAUGCCUCCAUUUUGCUGGUUCAGCCCCUUUUUGCAUGACCCAUAUGAAGGCCUAGCACAUACCCCCAAAACCAAACCCUGGCACUCAUGCUCUGGAACUGCUGCUGCAGGACACUGGGGAUGUCGAAGCAGGGACCAGAGGAGCAGGGUCUUGGCCAAUGACAAGGAAAAACAACAUACCCCACACCCCAAGCCCAUGUAUGACUAAAAGGGUGUGGAGGAUGCUGAAACAGCAUUAUUGUCUUAUGUGAGGAUGAUGCUUCAUGCUGCCAACCCAUGUCCUUACCCAGCUGUGCUGGGCAGCCACCUACCCACCCGCUCACUCAUAUCCCCCAGUGCGAUGGAGAAGAGAACUGGAAGGGCAAAAGUGAGGAAAAAACCCACAAAGCCUUGUAGGUUGAGAUACAGAAUAUAAAUAAGAGAAAGGGAACAAAAACAAAGGGAAAAACCCCACCAAGUGAUGCAUAAGCAAUCACUGACCAUCAACCAACUGAUCUCCACCUGAUCCCAGGCAAUGAUCACCAUGGUUACUUUGGUUAAACCUCCUCCCCAGCUUACUUGCUGAACAUGAUGCCAGAUGGCCUGAGACGUCUCUGAUCAGCUAAAGAAAGUGUGGCUGUGUGACCAACACUGUUCUCCCCACCAGCGUGAGUAUAGCACUGUAUCAGCUGCUGUGCACAAAACAAACUCUUUCCCAGCUAAACCCAGUACACUAUGAACCAGAUCUUUUAAGGAUUUCUUUUGGCCAAACAAGAAGGUUUUAUAAUAGCAUUUAGGAAAAAUAAAAGUGUCUGGAUAACAAUAGCAUUUAUAUAGAUGUAUAUGCUUUUAUACAUAUAUAAACGUUGCAAAUUUUGUAUGAAAACAUUAAUUUGUAUAGUGUGUAUGUAUGUACGUAUGUAUAAAACCAUGUAUAUCCUUUGUGUGAUUGAUUUGAAAACUAGUGUUAGAGCUUUAGAGCUUUUCUAGUGAUCUGCAGGUCUCAGGUGGGGAGGUGUUCCAACACUGCUUAGGAGAGCGGGACCCUGUUCUGUGCCAAGCUUUGUAGAGCUUCUAACCUCUGUUUGUGCCACUGCUGGUGUUUGUAUCCACUUCAGGAGCCUGUGUUCCAGCCACAGCUCUUAUAAAAAUAUGCUGAAUAAAACUCACUGUGAUGCCAAAGGGAUGAAUAGGAAAAAUGUAUCAGCAUCCUGCAAUGUAAAUAAUGGCUUUGAGAUACUGGAUUUAUUUGCAUAUUGAGUCUGGACACGCACUUACCAAUUUUUUCCUCCAGAAACAUUUUGUUAUAUCUAUAUGUAUAUAUCUGUAUCUAUACAUAUAUCUUAGAAAUACUUUUGGUAUAUAUUGUAUGUGUAUAUGGGAGUAUCUAUCAUUACAUAUAUUGCAUAAUGUUGCAUGUUAUAUAUAUGGAAAUAUUAUAUGUAUUUUUCACAUUUAUGAUGUAUUGCCCCCUCCCUCCUUUCAAUCCUUGGAUAACAGCCUGUGUGAAUUUCUUGUGUAGAAUUAAAUCAGUUUUUUAAUUUUACUCUUUUUCCCCCUCUUUAGUACCAGCUCCUAAGUCAUCUGGAAUAUAGAUUGGGAAUGAGUUUGAUUUCUAAGCCCUUCGUGAGAGUGAGGAUAUAGGAUUAGUGGUGGGGAGAUCAGAUACCCAUGAGAGAUUUGUAAUGAUUGCAUGAAUAUUUGUACAGUUUCAGGCUACCCUGUAUCUAGAUUAGGCUGUCUUCAGUGAGGAAAGGGACAAGCAUGAAAAUAUUUCAGGUGCUUCAUCCAUUAAUUUUCUUAAUAUGGCCAGGUUUAAUACUUCCUCCUGAAUCUGCACGUCAGCAACUCUGGCAUCUGUAUGGUUGUGAGAACUUCCCAAGAGAUAAUUCAGAUGUAAUAGACAUGACUGAUUGAAAACUUAUGAUCCAGAAGUCAUUUGGGAUGUCAGUCUGAACCUUGAACAACAGCAUUUGCCAUCAGAACCUGAGGAGUGUUGCUACUUCCAUCCUGUAUCUAGUAACAAGCCCUUAUGGAGUAGAUGAGGUGUGGGCUUUUGCAUUGGAAAUAGAGGAAGGAGAGCAAAAAAAAUAAAAGGAAAACCAGCAGUGCAUAAGAAACCUCAUCCACUUACAGCAAUUGUGGGACAAGAACCAGACCAAUCCAAACAGAGGAGGAGUGCUCUUCUUCCAUUAUUGCUUCAAGGAAGAAGAUUAAUAUUUAAUAAGAAAAAUAAGUUAGCUGACAAGUAAGACGGAGAUUCUGAACACAAUCUAUGGAAACCAUCCUUGAAGAAACCCUUUGAUGAGGAGGAUCCAUGAUGGCUUGUAAAUCCUGGAGCAUAUUUGUCAGAAAAUGGUUUAUUUAAGAUUUGCCUUAGAUUCUACCUUGUAAGGAUAUCUAUGAGUUUGGUAUUGUCUCCUGGCUAUUGGGCCUCUUCUGUUCUGUCAAAUCCCACUCAUCUUAAUUACUAAUUUGAAUUUAUGGAUGCUCAGUCAUUCUGAUUUUCAUUUGAACUAUUACCUGGGUCCUUCACUUGCGCAUCUAUAAAUGUAUCGUCAUAAUAUUUUUCCUAGACUGUAAAUUUGUUGCAAAACUGGAGCACUUUUGUUAUUUUCUAGAAGCAGCUAGAUUUUCUAGAUUUUUUGUUAUUUCCCAGGUCUUGGAAGACCUGGUUUUAGUGCUCUCAUAGAAACCUAGACAGAUUGUGAAAAAUGAGGUUCACUUCCUUGGUAAAUUUUUUAAAAUGUUUAAUAAAAAAAUAAGACAAUUAGGAAACAGAAACAAAGCAAAGGAUCUCAGCUAGGGUGUCUGGCAUACUGCCAGAAGCACACUUUACUAUCUCAGAAUACUUCUUUAAAAGGACCAGCAUGUUGCAUAUUUAAAGACCUUAAGGCAUUAUUCAAACAUUCCUUUGAGUUUACACGUUCUCUUGGUUUCAAACACCCCCCCCCCCCACCCCGCCCCACCCCAAUUCAGCAUUUUAUUACUUCUUGCAGAUAAAUCUCUU